rnacentral:rRNA from 1 species
GAUGAACGCUGGCGGCGUGCCUAAUACAUGCAAGUCGAGCGAACAGAUAAGGAGCUUGCUCCUUUGACGUUAGCGGCGGACGGGUGAGUAACACGUGGGUAACCUACCUAUAAGACUGGGAUAACUUCGGGAAACCGGAGCUAACACCGGAUAAUAUUUCGAACCGCAUGGUUCGAUAGUGAAAGAUGGUUUUGCUAUCACUUAUAGAUGGACCCGGGCCGUAUUAGCUAGUUGGUAAGGUAACGGCUUACCAAGGCGACGAUACGUAGCCGAGCUGAGAGGGGGAUCGGCCACACUGGAACUGAGACACGGUCCAGACGCCUACGGGAGGCAGCAGUAGGGAAUGUGCCGCAGUGGGCGAAAGCCUGACGGAACAACGCCGCGUGAGUGAUGAAGGUCUUCGGAUCGUAAAACUCUGUUAUGAGGGAAGAACAGACGUGGAAGGAACUGUGCACGUCUUGACGGUACCUAAUCAGAAAGCCACGGCUAACUACGUG